GACAGAGGGUGCAAACGUUGUUCGGAAUUACUGGGCGCAAAGCGUGUGUAGGCGGUCUCUUAAGUCGGAUGUGAAAGCCCCGGGCUCAACCCGGGAAGUGCACUCGAAACUGGGAGGCUAGAGUACUGGAGAGGUUGGUGGAAUUCUCGGUGUAGAGGUGAAAUUCGUAGAUAUCGAGAGGAACACCGGUGGCGAAGGCGGCCAACUGGACAGAUACUGACGCUGAGACACGAAAGCGUGGGGAGCAAACAGG
rnacentral:rRNA from 1 species